rfam:Mesonia phycicola strain DSM 21425 genome assembly, contig: Ga0070602_108
UUUUAGUUUUACUUUUGAAAUGCGUUAGGGGUUGCAGCGGCAUCCUUUUUAUUUUUAACCCAUAAGCACUAAUUAAAAAAUAAAAAGAUAUAGCGAAAAACCCGACCCAAA